AUGUAACGAUCAUGUCCUUGAAAGAUGAGGACUCACUGCUUAUUGAAAUGCUACUGCUGAUCUGGAAUCUGCACCUCAGAACCUAUGGUGUAACAUAAAAAGAAAGCACCAUAGCGCAAAUACAUCAGUACAACUAAAGUACUGAGUAUACGUGGGGGUAGGCUAAAUGCAUGGGGUUUAUAUGCAUGAACAUGCUGACUAAUAUGAACGUGAGAAUACAUAAGUAACUGCUACUGAACUCAUGGAGAUACUAACUACUUGACUUUGAAAUCUGACAACAUGAGUUUCGUGAUACUGAUAUACUGAAUGACUGAUAACAUGGAUGACUGUAUCUAACAGUCCUAAUUCUAGGGAAAACUAUCUGAGUUCCAAACUGUAUAUGAACAUCUAAGUCUGAGAUCAGUCCUAGCUAACGAGUGAUCUCUAAAACUGAUAAUAAAAAUACUUGACUGAAUCUGAGAUUAAGAUCAAGCCUGUCUGCCGGGUGACCUCUAGAUCUAAUAAUAAGCAUCUGAAUAUGGGACCAAGCCUAUCUGACAGUAUGGUCUAGGAAUCAAUGGAACUAUCUGAGUUCCUUACUGAGAUCGAUGACUGUAUCUGACAGUCCUGAUUCCUGAUUUCUACUCUGAAGACUAAUACUGAAACUAUAACUGUCACUGUGACUGUGUGAGGUAGUAACCUAACCAACAUUCCCCGAUACUGUACUGGUGGGGUCUAAUCUUUGCACUGAUUGGAAGGGUGUCAAUACCGUGCCACGGGUAGAGACCUCUACUAUGGUCAAGCCUCUCUGACGGGUGACCCUGAACAGGAAAUCAAGCCUAAGGUAAUAUAAUAGUCAAGUAUAGCCUUAAUCUGAUGGGCGACUCCUGUCCUGCGCUGGCUAUGCAGUUCUAGAGUAUAGGGAUUGACGGCUCUGCCUUUAUAAUGGGAAAAAUCGCUAAUCCUGCACUCGCUCGGUGCUAGUCCCUACUCCCAACUGAAAGACUCUAAAAAUGAUUAACUGCGCUGAAUUGACUAACUGAACUAAACUACUUUAUCAACUGAUUAACUGAGCUGAUAAUAUUUUCUUAGCUGAACUAAGCUGAAUUUACUGAGUUCCAUUGACUGAUGGAAAAGCUACUUGAGAUCUGAGGUCUAACUGAGAGUACUGAAACUACUGGGACUACUGAAUUACUGAGAUUUCUAAGUUUUUUUUAGUCACGUGACUAACAGAAAUCUAUGGAGCAUAGCUUGACUGAGGAUGUCUUGAAACAUGACACUAGAUCUAGGCACACAGCUAUAGUUUUUGGGUACAAGUACCCCCAGGACUCGAUGGAAGGAAACUGACACACAUGACUGACUUGAUCAUAAGAGUACAGUCCAUAAUUCACAAUAUCAUAAGUAAGGAUUUCAUAAUAAGAAUGAUUCUCAACAAACUAUCACAUGAUUGAGAAUGCACACAACAUGUAUAUACUUGCAUGGCUUCAAUAACAUGGUCAUUCNNNNNNNNNNNNNNNNNNNNNNNNNNNNNNNNNNNNNNNNNNNNNNNNNNNNNNNNNNNNNNNNNNNNNNNNNNNNNNNNNNNNNNNNNNNNNNNNNNNNNNNNNAACUUAGAACAUGGAAUAGUCAUUUAGGACUUAUUAUGUCAUAAAAGCAUGAUUUCUAUUCCCUUAGGUAUUUUCACAAACACCUUAAAUGCACAUCUUAGGCAUAGGUGGAUUCAUCAAGAUUACAAAUAUUCAACUACCAAUUUCACAUAUUUAUACAUUAAAUACCACUAUCCUCACACAAAACAUACAAAGAUCCCAUCUUAGGCAUCAUCAAACUCCAACCACAUGAACAUCAACCACCACCAAUAUAAACAUCAUAAUACAUAAUUUAGAAGAUGGAUUCUGAGCUUUAUGGACGAAAGGAGUCCAUGAAUCAACUCACGCAUACCUUAGAAGAAAGAUUCUUGAUGAUUGACGGAGACAUUUUCUUGAAAUUGGAUCUUCAAGCUUAAUUAUGCAACCCUAGUUGUUUUUCUCUUUUAGUGCUCUUGGAUGAUGAACUUAAGAUGUUAGUAGGGUUGUAAUGUAAUUAGGAGCUAUAUAUUUCGUAGGGUUAAGUUUAGAAACGUGUAAGGAGUGUUAAAAUACUUAAUUACCCUCAAAAUAACUCAAAACGGAGUGUUUAAUUCGCUUGAAACCAUAAGAUAUGCACCGCAUAUGAUAUCGCAUAUAUCUACAUAGGCGCCGCAUAUGCUAUCGCCUAUAUUUACGUAGGCUCCACAUAUGCUAUCGCCUAUAUCUACAUAGGCGCCGCAUAUGAUAUCACCUAUAUUUAUAUAGGCACCGCAUAUGCCAUCGCCUAUAUUUACAUAGUCACCAUAUAUGCUAUCGCAUAUAUUUUCCAGUAGCCAUGUGUGAUUGGUUAGGCGACGCACUCUUCUUUACAAAGCCAUAACUCCUAGCUCGGGUGUCGGAUUUUGAUAAAAUUGGUAUCAUUGGAAAGCUAGUUCAAUUAUCUAUAAUUUGGUGAGGAGAAAUAUGCAGAAAUACCACAUUAACAUCGAGUUAUACUCGUUCAAAUAUGACCCUUACAAAAUCGAACACUAAAACUUGAUAGAUUCAAAAACUCUUAGCUUGUAUUACCUUAAGUGACUCGUAUGAACAUACUUAAUGCAUCAUAAGCUAUAUUAUCGCUAGGAUACUCAUUGUAAGUCAUGUACUCAAGUAUGAAUCAUAGGAUAGGAGAUUUUAUAUAUAGGAAAAAUGGUUCAUCUCCUAGCUUAGAAACAUGCGGGGUAUUACAAUAUCUCCCCCUUAGAAACAUUCAUCCUCGAAUGGAAAUUAACUGAGGUGAGAGAUAUUAUAAGAUGAAGUACGUAAAGACAUACACUACUGGAACAUGGGUUCAUGACUGACAUGACUGAAAGCUGAGCACACCAUACUGAACAUGCAUAUCUGAUGCAUAGGAAGCUGAUUCAUGAAUAUAAGACUGAGGAUUCUAAUAAAGUGAGUAUUCUCAAAAUGAGAAUGCAUAUCUGAUGGACAACUAAAAGGUUGAAUCCAUGCAUAUCUGAUGCAUGAUUACAUGACUGACAUGAUAUGUAAAUGUAUGAGUGAAGAUACUGAUAAAUAGUACUUUCUCUAUUGAACACGUAUAUCUAAUGCCUGAAUAUCUGACUAAGCUGACUCUUGAAAGUUUGACUGAUUAUGCCAUGGCACUUGAUAACUAAUUUAUAACGGGAACAUGAAAGCAUCAAGAAAAGGUGGGGUAUCUCCCCCUUGGGAUAGUAUUUCCCUCUAGGAAUGUUUAUCUUGCUGAGAUACUGGGGUGAUGCACAGGGCAUCUACGAACUAGAUUAUAACUAAAUAUUGGAGAGCUGAGACUAAUGCAUGAUGCAUGAACUGAACUAGGCCUACUAAUGUUGUUGACUAACUCAUGUGGAAACAUAAGCUCAAACGAGCGCAAGAUAUCUAACAAUGCAUACAUGACCAUGAAAACUUGUAAUGUACCCGAAUCUAGGUUGGGGAAACUUUCUGGAUCAUGGUGAGUCUGGAGUAAAUAGAGUCAAUUCUGAUGCUGACCACUAUUGAUGCUGGGAUUUACGGCCUGCUCAUGCGAAUCUCUACUUUUCUGAGCUAACACUCUACACUCCCGCAUUUUGUGGUCUGGCUUACCGCACCCAAAAUAUAUCGGACUAUUAUCUCUGCAUGCACCUAGAUAAUUAUUUCCACACUGUCCACAAAGUGGAUAAGUACGCUCACUUCUAACACUACUCUGGGCUUUAGAGCCUGGCGCCCCACCAUGACUAACAUCUCCAAAGUUAGGUGUGGGCACACUAACUGAAGAUGGAACAGGGAUUGAUUUUUCUGACUAUGGUGAGAACGAUUACUACCCUGUGACCCAGCCAGAGAAAAUCUGUAACUACCUGUUCUAAAUCUCUUAUUAGAUCUCUCUCUAUCCUUAGACUUAUCUGCCUCUAUCUGUUAAGCAUGCAUCAUUAACCUAGCAAGGUCCAUGUCCCUAUUGAGCAUAGCUAUUCUACACUCUUUUAAUACUAACUCGGACACACCAGUCACAAAUCAUAAACUUCUCAUACUCACUCUGGGGUCAGCUAUCAAGUCAGAAGCAUACUUAGCUAACUGGUUGAACUUAAGACAAUACUCCUUCACUGUCAUGGAGCCUUAUCUCAGGUUCAUAAACUCUUCUACCUUAGCGUCUCUCAUCUCUAAUAGGAAAAACUUAUCUAAGAAGGCAUCCUAAAAUAUCUGCCAAGUCAUGGGAGUUGCAUCUUCCCCUCUACUCUUCUUCCACAACACUACCCAAUCAUGAGCAAUAUCUUUCAGCCUAUAGGAUGUUAAUUCCACACUCUCCUCUUCUGACACAUGUAUGAUUUGGGUGAUCUUCUUUACCUCUUCUAGAUACAGUUAUGGGUCCUCACCUGUUAAUGACCCAAAGAAAUCUGGAGGGUUUAUUCUCAUAAAAUUUUUGAUUCUGGCUGUAGUUGAAUCCCCAUCUUGCUGGGGUGGGGCUGCAGUCUGUCGGUUGCCCUGAACACUAGUGGUCACAGCCUGGGCUAGCGCCUGAAAAGUUGCCCAAAAUUCUGCAUAUGACACAUUCUUAUUUAAAGGAUCUGCAGGCUGCGGGGCUGACUGAUUCCCUAUCCUCUUUUUAGGAGGCAUGUUCUACAAACAGAAGAGGAACAAGGAUUAAACUGAGAGUUCAACUUAAUGUUUUGCUCACUGGCACGAUAUGAGUACUGAAAGAAGGGAAACUGUUCCUAAAACAUCUUAUAGCCUCUUGUACAUAAAUGUGGCGAGUAACACACCCAUGUACAAGACACUACUAGAUGCGGCUUUCAGACUUCCUAGGACUUUAUUGAACCUUAGGCUCUGAUACCAAGUUUGUAAUGCCCCAAGUUUCUGAACCAGAACGCUACAUGGUGCUCAUGACCCCAAAGGACCAUAAGCUAACCCAUGACUGAUAUCUGUACCUGUAACUGCAUAAUAUACAUAUAAAAUACGGAAACAUGAACAACGAAGACGUAAGGUUCAAUCUUGAAUAAUAAAAUAUCUGAAAAAAUGUGGUAUCACAAUGCCAAAACAAAACUAAAAAUAAUAAAGUCUAAAUCUGAAAACUCUAUAAUCGUCUGAAAGCCUCUAAACUGUCUAAAUAAGGAGUUAAAGGAACAUGUCUCCAACUAACUCCCUAAACUGAAAAUAAACUGAAAUACUGGAAUAAUAAAUAUAACGAUCAUGUCCUCAAACCAUGAGGACUCACUGCUUACUGAACUGCUACUGCUGAUCUGGAAUCUGUACCUCAGAACCUAUGGUGUAACAUAAAAGAAAGCACCAUAGCGCAAAUGCGUCAGUACAACUAAAGUACUGAGUAUACGUGGGGGUAGGCUAAAUGCAUGGGGUUUAUAUGCAUGAACAUGCUGACUAAUAUGAACAUGAGAAUACAUACAUACAUACAUACAUACAUAUGUAACUGCUACUGAAUUCGUGGAGAUACUGAUUACUUGAGUUUGAACUCUGACAACAUGAGUUUCGUGAUACUGAGAU
rnacentral:lncRNA from 1 species